GUCAUAUGCUUGUCUCAAAGAUUAAGCCAUGCAUGUCUCAGUACAAGCCAAAUUAAGGUGAAACCGCGAAAGGCUCAUUAAAUCAGUUAUGGUUCCUUAGAUCGUACCCACAAUUACUUGGAUAACUGUGGUAAUUCUAGAGCUAAUACAUGCAAACAGAGCUCCGACCGGAGACGGAAGGAGUGCUUUUAUUAGAUCAAAACCAAUCGGUGGCGGGUUCGCUCGUCAUCGCAUAACUUGGUGACUCUGAAUAACUUUACGCUGAUCGCACGGUCAUCGCACCGGCGACGCAUCUUUCAAAUGUCUGCCUUAUCAACUGUCGAUGGUAGGUUCUGCGCCUACCAUGGUUGUAACGGGUAACGGGGAAUCAGGGUUCGAUUCCGGAGAGGGAGCCUGAGAAACGGCUACCACAUCCAAGGAAGGCAGCAGGCGCGCAAAUUACCCACUCCCGGCACGGGGAGGUAGUGACGAAAAAUAACGAUACGGGACUCAUCCGAGGCCCCGUAAUCGGAAUGAGUACACUCUAAACCCUUUAACGAGGAUCAAUUGGAGGGCAAGUCUGGUGCCAGCAGCCGCGG
rnacentral:rRNA from 1 species